ACCCGUUCCCAUUCCGAAUACGGCCGUUAAGCUCUUCUGGGCCAAUGGUACUUCCUUCGCAAGGAGGUGGGAGAGUAGGUCGGUGCCCCCA
rnacentral:rRNA from 1 species